rnacentral:rRNA from 1 species
CGUGAGUGAUGAAGGCUUUCGGGUCGUAAAGCUCUGUCAAGUGGGAAGAACCUAUAUAAUGUUAAUACCAUUAUAUAUUGACGGUACCACUGAAGGAAGCACCGGCUAACUCCGUGCCAGCAGCCGCGGUAAUACGGGGGGUGCAAGCGUUAUUCGGAAUCAUUGGGCGUAAAGAGCACGUAGGCGGCCUGGUAAGUCAGAUGUGAAAGCCCGGGGCUUAACCCCGGAAGUGCAUUUGAUACUGCCAGGCUUGAGUAUGGGAGAGGGAAGUGGAAUUCCUGGUGUAGAGGUGAAAUUCGUAGAUAUCAGGAGGAACACCGGUGGCGAAGGCGACUUCCUGGACC